rnacentral:rRNA from 1 species
GACGAACGCUGGCGGCGUGCUUAACACAUGCAAGUCGAGCGGUAAGGCCCUUUCGGGGGUACACGAGCGGCGAACGGGUGAGUAACACGUGGGUGACCUGCCCUCAGCUCUGGGAUAAGCCCGGGAAACUGGGUCUAAUACCGGAUAUGACUCCAUGACGCAUGUUGUGGGGUGGAAAGCCUUGUGCGGCUGAGGAUGGGCCCGCGGCCUAUCAGCUUGUUGGUGGGGUGAUGGCCACCAAGGCGACGACGGGUAGCCGGCCUGAGAGGGCGACCGGCCACACUGGGACUGAGAUACGGCCCAGACUCCUACGGGAGGCAGCAGGUGGGGAAUCUUGCGCAAUGGGCGAAAGCCUGACGCAGCGACGCCGCGUGAGGGAUGACCGGCCUGG